rnacentral:lncRNA from 1 species
UGCAGCUGUAGUGACAAUCUCAGAGCAGCUUCUACACCACAGCCAUUUCCAGCAUGAAGAUCACUGGGGGUCUCCUUCUGCUCUGUACAGUGGUCUAUUUCUGUAGCAGCUCAGGUGGACUGCAGCAUUUACAAGAAGUAUCCAGUGGUGGCCAUCCCCUGCCCCAUCACAUACCUACCAGUUUGUGGUUCUGACUACAUCACCUAUGGGAAUGAAUGUCACUUGUGUACCGAGAGCUUGAAAAGUAAUGGAAGAGUUCAGUUUCUUCACGAUGGAAGUUGCUAAAUUCUCCAUGGACAUAGAGAGAAAGGAAUGAUAUUCUCAUCAUCAUCUUCAUCAUCCCAGGCUCUGACUGAGUUUCUUUCAGUUUUACUGAUGUUCUGGGUGGGGGACAGAGCCAGAUUCAGAGUAAUCUUGACUGAAUGGAGAAAGUUUCUGUGCUACCCCUACAAACCCAUGCCUCACUGACAGACCAGCAUUUUUUUUUUAACACGUCAAUAAAAAAAUAAUCUCCCAGAAAGUUUAUCUUUGCUUCUGUU